CCCCGUAUGACAUUUUUUAAGGGAACGGAGAGAGUAUUUUUUUUUUCUCCAUCUUAUGGAAAAGUGAUACUGCUGCUCUGCUGUAAACCGCCAUUAUAGCCUUACAUGCACAGACAAUGCAACUAAUAGAGUAUAAAAUUUAUGGCCAGAGAUCUACAUCGGCAUGCCACGAAGAUUUGUUCUCUUCGAUGGCGUACCCUACAACCCGAGGCGAGCUAGCUAGCUUGUGGUUGUUGCAGCCAUGAAGGGUCCACAGAAAAAAAAAAACUGUCCUCUCUCGGAAGAACGAAAAACUAACAUGAUCGAGAAAGUUGAUCACAUGAGUCUUACACUCUAUUAGUACUAGCCGAUGCCUGAUAAGAGGGUAAAUAUUGAUACAUGCAUGUCCGAGUUUUUUAUUCUAUUUCCCCCUCGUCUGACGUACGCAGGCGUACACGCUGUGUGCAUAUGUAGCCUCGUGAGUUUUGACUCGGCGAUGUGAACGUUCAUGUACAGUGGUGUUUGUGCACAUCAAUCACAUCAAUGACAAGUUGUGGAUGCAUCAAUCCACGCAUUGAGAUUUAAAUAUUAAUGUUCACAAUAUAAUUUCUUUCAAAAACGGUCUCUACGUCGGAGUUGGAUGCUACACUGGAACGACGAACCCAGUUUUUUUUAUUGGGUGAGACAAACACUAUUUUUUUUAUUUUUUUCAUGAUCUUUAGUAAUGAAAGGGGAUUUCAAAAAUCACUCGGUGGGCCAUACCCAUUCGCCCAACCGGGUUAUCACUGCUUCACCAGCACGCAUGUAAGUUGGGUGUGCGAUGUAGGCCAAAACAACAAAUUUGACCGUUUUCAGAAAACAUAAAUAAUCUUUUUUCAAAACUAUUUCCAAAUCUCACCAUUUUUAAAACUUGUUUUUUUAUUGAGAGGCAAACGCCAGUGUGCAUGGUGUUUGUUACAUGCUGUUGGCCAUGCACACACUUGGGUAUCAGCCACCGCACCUAUGGCGUUCGUAUCAGGUGGCAAACGCCAGCUCCCCCGGUGUUUCCAGCAAUAGAAACGCCGAAUCUCUUGGCGUUUAGGUUGUCUUGACGCCACAACAUCUGGCGUUACAUUCGUCCCGAAACCACCAGCAUGAAUGACGUUUCCAAAAAGGUUCAGAUUCGGAAAUAGUUUCGUAAAGGGGUUAUUUUUCCUCAACUUUUCAAAAAAGUUCAAAUUUGUCGUUUUGGCUGCGCUGGAGCAAGUGCUAAGUUUCACAUAUAAACGGUGUCAAAUGACAUGCAAGCAUGUGAGUUUUACACUUCUUGAUUCCAAGUUUUCAACUCGCAAUUGAGUUUCUGAAAAGGCAUUUCGUUUCCUAAUGAGUUUUGGUGUUAAUGACAACAUGACUUGUGGACUAAUCGUGCGUCGAGUGUUUUCAGAUUUGAUAACUUGUGUGUUGUGACAUGAUUCAUCGCCCUCAAAAAGGAAAAAAUCGUAUAAGGAUUUGCGGCUUUUUAUUUUAUUGAGUCGUAGGAAAAUCCGUACUAUAAAGAGAGUGUCCAUUUGGGAAAGUUUUGGGUGAAUCAACUUCACAUACACAAAUCUACUAGAUUGCACCCACAUAAAGCCU
rnacentral:lncRNA from 1 species